UCGAUGGAGAGAAGGAGGAGUGACAAUUCCGCGCCCUGACGAAAUAGGGCGUUAAAAGAUGUAGGUAUAUUUUCUAUAGGCAAAUCCGUAGAGAAUGCUGAAGUCCAACAGUACCAGGAGGCUCCGGCCGAAUGGAUAGAGAAUGUAAGCAGACUUCCGAGAAAAUCUUCUAAGCAUAUUGAUACGGUACCCGUACCGCAAACCGACACAGGUAGUCAAGGAGAGAAUCCUGAGGUGCUCGAGUGAGUCAUGGCUAAGGAACUAGGCAAAUUAAACCUGUAACUUCGGGAAAAGGGUUGCCUCUCUUUAGCAAUAAAGAAGGUCGCAGAGAAAUGGCCCAGGCGACUGUUUAACAAAAACACAUGGCUAUGCGAAAUCGUAAGAUGAAGUAUAUGGCCUGACACCUGCCCGGUGCUGGAAGGUUAAGGGGGGAAGUUAGUCGCAAGGCGAAGCUUUGAACUGAAGCCCCAGUAAACGGCGGCCGUAACUAUAACGGUCCUAAGGUAGCGAAAUUCCUUGUCGGGUAAGUUCCGACCUCACGAAUGGCGUAACGACUUCUCAACUGUCUCAACCAUAGACUCGGCGAAAUUGCACUACGAGUAAAGAUGCUCGUUACGCGCGGCAGGACGAAAAGACCCCGGGACCUUCACUACAACUUGGUAUUGGAGUUCGUUACGGUUUGUGUAGGAUAGGUGGGAGACUGUGAAGCUCACACGCCAGUGUGGGUGGAGUCAUUGUUGAAAUACCACUCUGAUCGUAUUGGGCUUCUAACUUCGAACCGUAUAUCCGGUUCAGGGACAGUGCCUGGUGGGUAGUUUAACUGGGGCGGUUGCCUCCUAAAAUGUAACGGAGGCGCCCAAAGGUUCCCUCAACCUGGACGGCAAUCAGGUGUUGAGUGUAAGUGCACAAGGGAGCUUGACUGCGAGACGUACAUGUCGAGCAGGGACGAAAGUCGGGACUAGUGAUCCGGCACCCCCGAGUGGAAGGGGUGUCGCUCAACGGAUAAAAGGUACCCCGGGGAUAACAGGCUGAUCUUCCCCAAGAGUCCAUAUCGACGGGAUGGUUUGGCACCUCGAUGUCGGCUCGUCGCAUCCUGGGGCUGGAGCAGGUCCCAAGGGUUGGGCUGUUCGCCCAUUAAAGCGGCACGCGAGCUGGGUUUAGAACGUCGUGAGACAGUUCGGUCUCUAUCCGCCGCGCGCGUCAGAAGCUUGAGGAAACCUGUCCCUAGUACGAGAGGACCGGGACGGACGAACCUCUGGUCUACCAGUUGUCCCACCAGGGGCACUGCUGGAUAGCUACGUUCGGACAGGAUAACCGCUGC
rnacentral:rRNA from 1 species